GACGAACGCUGGCGGCGUGCUUAACACAUGCAAGUCGAACGGUGAAGCGCCUUCCUUUUUGGUGGGUGUGGAUGCGUGGCGAACGGGUGAGUAACACGUGAGUAACCUGCCCCCUUCUUCUGGAUAACCGCAUGAAGGUGUGGCUAAUACGGGAUAUUCUGGGUCUGUCGCAUGAUGGGUCUGGGACAGCGAUUGUUUCGGUGGUGGAUGGGCUCGCGGCGUAUCAGCUUGUUGGUGGGGUGAUGGCCUUCCAAGGCGGUGAGGGGUAGCCGGCCUGAGAGGGUGGACGGUCACACUGGGAGUGAGACACGGCUCAGACUGCUACGGGAGGCAGCAGUGGGGAGGAUUGCACAAUGGGCGAAAGCGUGAUGCAGCGACGCCGCGUGAGGGAUGGAGGCCUUCGGGUUGUGAACCUCUUUCGCUAGUGAAGCAGGCCUGCCUCGUUUGUGGGUGGGUUGACGGUAGCUGGAUAAGAAGCGCCGGCUAACUACGUG
rnacentral:rRNA from 1 species